GAGUAAAAUUUGGGUCUAAAGUUAAUAGACUUGAUUUCUAUAUACAUGUGAAAUUUUAAGACAAUUGAAUAGUUUAAUAAGGAGAUAUUGGUGUUGGAAGUUAUUAAGAAUAUUUAGGAUUUGUGUAGGGUUUGAUUUAGGUUUUGGUUUAGGGUCAGAUUUAGGAUUUAGGAUUUGUUUAGGAUUUGAUUUAGGAUUUGAUUUAGGAUCUAAGAUUUGAUUUAGAGUUUGAUUUAGGAUUUACAAUUUAUCUAGGAUUUGAUUUAGGAUUUGGUUUAGAAUUUAAGAUUUGUCUAAGAUUUGGUUUGGGAUUUAGGAUUUGUCUAGGAUUUGAUUAAAGUCUAUCAAGGUUUCAACUAGGAUUAAAUUAGCACUUUGUUGAGAUUUAUUUAAGAUAUAUUUUUGAUUAUUCAAAUAUUUUUUAGGGCUUCUUAAGGAUUCUUUUAAAGUUUAUUGUGGAUUUUCUUCCAAUUCUUUUAAGAUUUUUUAUUGUUACUUUUUAAAUUUUUUUAAGGUUUAUUUUGAAUUUGAUUAAAGCUUGUUUAAUAUUAAUAAGGUUUACUUAGAA
rnacentral:lncRNA from 1 species